rnacentral:rRNA from 1 species
UGGGGAAUCUUGGACAAUGGGGGCAACCCUGAUCCAGCCAUGCCGCGUGAGUGAUGAAGGCCUUAGGGUCGUAAAGCUCUUUCACCGGUGAAGAUAAUGACGGUAGCCGGAGAAGAAGCCCCGGCUAACUCCGUGCCAGCAGCCGCGGUAAUACGGAGGGAGCUAGCGUUGUUCGGAAUUACUGGGCGUAAAGCGCGCGUAGGCGGCUUAGCAAGUUGGGGGGUGAAAUCCCGGGGCUCAACCCCGGAACUGCCUCCAAAACUAUUGGUCUAGAGUUCGAGAGAGGUGAGUGGAAUUCCAAGUGUAGAGGUGAAAUUCGUAGAUAUUUGGAGGAACACCAGUGGCGAAGGCGGCUCACUGGCUCGAUACUGACGCUGAGGUGCGAAAGUGUGGGGAGCAAACAGGAUUAGAUACCCUGGUAGUCCACACCGUAAACGAUGAAUGCCAGUCGUCGGGUAGCAUGCUAUUCGGUGACACACCUAACGGAUUAAGCAUUCCGCCUGGGGAGUACGGUCGC